rnacentral:rRNA from 1 species
GACGAACCGUGCGAACGUUAUUCGGAAUCACUGGGCCUAAAGCGCGUGUAGGCGGAUGAGCACGUCUGUCGCUGAAAUCCCCCGGCUCAACCGGGGAACGGGCGCGGAUACGGCUCGUCUCGAGGGGCGUAGGGGGACCUGGAACUUCCGGUGGAGCGGUGAAAUGCGUUGAGAUCGGAAGGAACGCCCGUGGCGAAAGCGAGGUCCUGGACGCCUACUGACGCUGAGACGCGAAAGCCAGGGGAGCGAACGGG